UACGUAGGGACCAAGCGUUGUUCGGAUUUACUGGGCGUAAAGGGCGUGUAGGCGGCGCGGUAAGUCACUUGUGAAAUCUCUGAGCUUAACUCAGAACGGCCAAGUGAUACUGCAGUGCUAGAGUGUGGAAGGGGCAAUCGGAAUUCUUGGUGUAGCGGUGAAAUGCGUAGAUAUCAAGAGGAACACCUGAGGUGAAGACGGGUUGCUGGGCCAACACUGACGCUGAGGCGCGAAAGCCAGGGGAGCAAACGGG
rnacentral:rRNA from 1 species